CAGGAAUUUGUUCAGUCUCCAGGAAAUUGUGAAGGUCUAAAUGAGCAAAUUCGAGCUAUCCCAGCGUCCCUUGAAAAAUAUACACCGAAUCACAGAGGAAGAAGCAUAAACUCAUAUUUGGCCGGAAAAGGAGACACAAGCUAAACUCUCUUAAAAGUCUGAUAUUACUUCCCAAUACAAAAAAAGCAGAAUGAAAACUGCAUUUUCCAGUGAAAACAGAGGUUGACAUUGACCAUGGGGCCGACCUUCCCUUAGCACCAGUCAAAAGAGAUGGCAAAAUCAUAGUACUUAAGAGUUGGCAGGGCCUUGGUGUGUCACCUCCCUGCCUCCCUGUCACUGCAGGGAUGCCUUCCCAGCCUGCCAGAGGCUCAGAGCUCACUCUCUCACAUCAAGGGCCCCCACCCCUGAGAGCUGAGAUGAAAUCGCUCUCCUUAGAGAUGCUACCUGGCCCCCAGUCCUGCGUGCACCGCAGUGAACCAGGACAGCUCUCCCUGUUCCUUCUCAAACUUUCCUCCAGGCAACACAUCAUCAGGUCCUUGGGUGAAGUGACUUUUCUAAGCACUAGACCCCUUGCCCCUGAAAUCCUGGUCAAUAUUUCCACCCUUCUUAGCCCAAGAGUUUCUUUGAAGCACAAACUUGAAAAAGCAAGUGCCUCCCCUCCCCACCCACCCCUUAAUGCCACUCUAAGCUGUUAAUGAUCAGUUACGCUUGGUAUGCAGGGGAGCAGAGCCCCUACAGCCGACGUGGCAGAGAAAGGUUAAAGCAGAGAGGGAGAGAAGAAUAAGGCAUUAUUGGGCCAGUGGGGAGAAGCGGUGAGAGCAAAUACAAAGAAAAGAAGAAGGAGGAAUAACAAGAACUAUCUUAGCUUCCAUCACAAUUUUACCCAAGGUGGAUGUGGCGCACAAGCACGUGCGCACACACACACACACACACACACACACAGACCACGCACUCAUUAAGUAGCCCAGACAAGCAGUCAAACAGCUGAGUGCACCACCUGAUGUCACUCUUCUGACCAUUAAUGGAUCCUGCAUUUUCUUCCAUUCUAACAACUUAAUCACUUACCCAUCAUCUUCUCUCCAUAUGGACUUAGAGACAGUGUUUGGUUAAAGAGCUUCAAUCUCUUUACAAGCCACCCCAUAAAGAUAAGUGGAGGUAUCAAAAUUCUCCAUGAACUAAGACCUCAGACUGCAGAGAUUCCUCACACAGAAUACUUUCGGAUGGCCACUGGGAGUCAGAGGGAAUGACCUAAUAAAAGUGAAAACCAGGGGCAGGCAGAGCGAUAAUGCAUAUGGUCAAGAGAGCUGUUUUGAUAUGGAAAUUUCCUUUGCAGAACUGAAUGGGUUCUCUCGGCAUUUUCCCCAGCUUGACUCUCUCUAGUUGAGUUUUCAAUUCCAACUCUCCAUUAUCACCCCGUUCCUUAACCCCCCAUCUGUCCUAUAACCCAUGAAAUCAGGUAAAUUUUUUCCAAUCUUUUGUACGAAGUUUAUUAAAAAAGAGUAAACCCUCUUCAGAUGCAGGUGUCAAAAUUCCAUCAUUUAUUUACCUUUGUCUAGAAGAAUUAAAAUAGAAACUUUUUUUUCCCUUGCAUGCUGAUGAGUCCUCUAAAGAUCCAACCAUUUCAACUAGUUUUCUUACAUGGCACAGAGGAGCACAAUGCCCCCUCCUCAAGCAAGGGGAGAUAAGGAAAAUGAAAGGGGGAGUGGAAGGAAGUGAGGUAUCAUUUAUUCUGUUGUCUCCUUUGGUUAAAAAAAAAAAACAAUCACAGCCAUGUUUUGCCUGCCUGUCAGCUUUACAAAGCACUUUCACUCAAUGGCGUUGAGCCUCACACACACUGCAGGGCAAGCAGAGGAGCUGUCAUGGUCCCCAUUUAGCACACAGGAAAACUGAGAGUCACAAAAGGCCAAGAAUUUGUCCCACGCCCCAAUGACUCACAUACCCAAACACAUAGUCCAGCCUGCGUUUGAGUCCACCUGUCAGUCUUCUGCAAAGCUACUAGAAGAUCUGUUCGGCCCUGGCUUUCCACAGAAAAUUCUGAGCAGUUCUCCUGACUGUGCCCUUCUCCUGCCUCUGGAUCCCCUUCCUAGCCAAUGUCAGCACCAACACCAUCCAUACCUAUCAAAAGUAUCUGAUUAUGUCCUCUCACCCACCGCUUCAGCCAGCCCUCAUGUGGGCAAGUAAACUGAUAAAGCAACUCCCGCUAAAGCAUUCUCAGUGGAGCUUUAGUACCUUGUCAAAGUCCACAGUUAGUUAGUGGAUUAGGAUCUGAACCCCAAACAGGGUACAAUUCCAGGUCAUAUCAUAGGCACCGUGCAGUAAACAUUCCCAGAAUCCCCUGAUGACACCUCUUGGAAAGUUAUAGUCUCUGUAUAUAUCACACAAGCAGUAAAAAGAUAUGAACUUUAUAAUUAUGCCAAGCAUGGGUGGCAGGAGGCGAGCCUUUAAAGAUUCCCCAGACAGAAGCAGUUUUGCACUUGGAGUGGCCCCUGUGACAGGUGAUAAGGACAUCCUUUCCAUUGCCACCACCAGGUUCCACAGACACCUCCAGGUUCUGUCUUUGCCCAGAACGGGUCUCAGAACCUCAGUGUAAACCCAGUGACUGAUCACACCUACUAUUCUGCCGCUCAGAUGAUGGACUGAACCCGAAGCCUAUUCACUGCCAACAGGGACAUCCUGGCAUGCUCCUGGACCCUGUUUCUGCCCAAGUGCUUCAAAAACAUGCAUCUAAGGGAAAUUCGACUUCACCUGAUACUUAGGACCAUACCCUCCACAAAGCAGAGAAUAUUCUAGACUAUUCUGUGAAAGCCUUUGAUUCAGGUUCACAUUUUGUUGAGAACAGAUACAGGCCAAGCCCUGGGGCGGGGCUACAACUGACAAGGACGACACUGAUCGCCACUUCCAGGCUUUGACCCCAUGACACACGCUGCUGCGGCAAAUCCCCCAAUUAACAUUAUCUUAGUUACCCUUCAUGAACCCGGAGGUACCCAUUAUUAUUAUUCCAGAGCAGAUGAGAAAACCAGGGCCUCAGAAAUUUGCCCAGAGUUAAAUAAAGGUCCAGCCAGGAUUCAGUCCCUGCUCGCCUGAUGAAAAGUCCUAGACUCUUAACAACAGUAUUAUUAAAACAGGCCCAGGCAAUGAGAACACGACUCCAAUGCUUGAGAUUGGCUGGAACAAAACCCAACUAUGCAAGUGCUUAUUUCAAACUCCCAAACCUACACAAUGAUGUUAGGUCCUGGCAAACAAACAGACACUGCAAACAGGCUCCUUCUCAACAUACUAGUUUCUGUUCUGGGGCCAACUCUAAAUACCAUAUAACCAGACGUUCUCUGUGUAUUUUUGGAACUUUCUCAGGCAUAACAGGAAUGAAAACACUCAUCCACCGUCGGGGGAAAUGGAGAUGAUGUGUGGAAGAAACUCUCAGCAAGCAGUGCUGGUGUGGAAAAGGGGAAAGAUGGAGCUGGCUCCCUCCUCCUCUGUUCUGGGUGGAAUGAAACCCAUGCUGUCCAACCUGGCCAUUCCCCCGGGGUCCUCCCCUUCCUUUUUGGCCCAGUCUUUCUUAGUCCCUCUCUGUCUGUCUUCUUCCCCUGCCCUCUGUUCCCUCUGGCCACCAGAAUCAAUGGACUGGAAGGGGACACACAUAGGGAAGGUACCCAGAGCAGGGAUGAUAAAAUGCACAAAUCAGGUUCCACUGCAUCUCCUUCCUUUGCUCCUCCAUUGAAAGACUCUACUGAUCAAGUAUCAGGGCAGUGGGAAGGGUCAGAAAAUCCACUGGCCUAAGAACUAGUAGCUCUGGCUUCUCAUCCUGACCCAUAAGAGUGUGAGCCUGAGCCUCACUUUCUUGGACUGUAACAUGGGAGACAACAGAACUGUCUUUCAAAUUCCUUCUCAUUUUUUGUUCUUUUCUUUUUAGGGCCACAACCUGUGGCAUAUAGAAGUUCCCGGGAAAGGGGCCACAUCGGAACUGCAGCUGCACCAAUGCCAGAUCCAAGCCACAUCUGCAACCUGCACCAUAGCUUGCAGCAAUGCCAGACCCUCAACUCGGUGAGCGAGGCCAGGGGUGGAACCCGCAUCCUCGUGGAUACUAAUUGGGUUCCUCACCCUCUGAGCUACAACAGAAACUCCCCUCAUUUUUGAACCCAAGAAUUUCUGUAGCUGGAAAUAGUAUUACAAAAUAAUUGGUAUUAUAAAAAAAUAACAAUAAUAAUACUAUAACAAAAUAAUUGGCAGGUGGCUCCUAGGUGAGACCCAAAGACUCUUCCUACCCUCCUCCAUUGAAUUACUGAUCUGGUUACUGAUUAAUAACUGAUCACUGUCAAAUCAGUCUAGAUCAUCUAGACCUGCCAAAGUGGCUGUUCUUUUUCUCUGUGUGGCCCACUUAUCAAAUGAAUCUAGCAAACGCCUGAGGAUGGUGCUGUCUAAUUUGUGAAGGGUUUCUGAGAAACAAGUAUGAGUAAUCUUCUCCAUCCACGGUGUUUGGCUUUACAUUAUUUCCAUACCACUGUUGACGUUGUCAGGCUGCUCAGGCAGAGACCCGUGAAGACAAAUAAGAAUAAAGUUAAACGCUGGACAUUUAUUUUCUUUUCAAUCCAUCUUCAAGGUAAACCUGCCUCUUCACACGGAAGACAGGUCCUUGGGAUUUUAGGAGCUUAUCUCUGGUCCCCGGGCAAAGUUACAACCUGUUAACAAAGGACUAUUGUAAUCAAAGGAAUCUAACAGAAAGGUUUCUAUUGCCGCUUGCCUGGGAAAGAAAGUUUUUCUUUCCCUAACUAGUUAUUAAAGUACUUACAUUUAAAUUGGGGAUAUUUCAGUGACAUCAGAAUACAGACCAACCCUGAGCCUUUGUGCAAAUGUAAAUUACUGCUUGAAAAUGUUCUGUUAACAUUCAAUCUACUUGGAUUUUCCUUUAUUUUUUUCAUACCUUGCUACAUUCUCUUAGUGGCUUGUCUUGAUUCAGUUAGCCAAAGGAGGGGUUGUGUGUGUGUGUGUGUAUGUGUGUGUGUGUGUGUUAAGAAGGAACAGAAGAACAAUGACAUUCUUUGAACUUAGUUGAAGGUAGCUAUUUAGAAUUUGCUAAAUUAGAUGGACUGAGCAUUUUAGUUCUGUCAGGCACACGCAUCUGAUAAGUCUUUGAUGCAUAUCUCUAUCGGCUUGUGGUAAGAGCAAAAAUUAAAGGCAGGUGGGGAAAGCCAGCAGAGCGCCUAAGAGGCAAAUCUAGAACAUGCUAUAACAUUGUUAUUAUUGGCUGGGGUCAGGGCUCUGCAUCUUUCCCCUGCAUCAGGAGUCAGGGUUGGUUUGGCGACACAGAGGGAGGCCCCUGAUUGGAUUCAUAUUGGGCUGACAGUGGGAGG
rnacentral:lncRNA from 1 species